rnacentral:rRNA from 1 species
AAUGGUUGUAACCNGNUGAUNNNUUCCGCGUUAGGGNAAANAGCCCUGCGGAGUGGAAAGCUUUGUNUUGGGGAUNAANNUNGUNUCAGGNAACACCAUUUNGUCGNCCGUACCGACGGAGGAAGUCCCUGCAAACUACGUGCCAGCAGCCGCGGUAAGACGUAGGGGGCAAGCGUUGUCCGGAAUUACUGGGCGUAAAGGGCUUGUAGGCGGUACGAUACGUAGCGGUUUUAAGCCUCCGGCUCACCCGGAGGAGGGCGGCUAAACGGUCGCACUGGAGGGCAGGAGAGGUGCAUGGAAUUCCUAGUGGAGCGGUGAAAUGCGUAGAGAUUAGGAAGAACACCAGUGGCGAAGGCGAUGCACUGGCCUGACCCUGACGCUGAGGCGCGANAGCGUGGGGAGCGAACGGGAUUAGAUACCCCGGUAGUCCACGCCGUAAACGAUGGGUACUAGGUGUCGCGGGGGUCCACCCGCGGUGCCGGAGCUAACGCACAAGUACCCCGCCUGGGAUNACGGCCGCAAAGU